GGAACACAUGAGGAAGGGUUUACCUAGUAGGCCAGAGAGAGAGAGAGAGAGAGAUUAGGAAGGUUAGUGAAGGAGAAGCAGGAUACCAAAUACUGCUUCCAAGGCUCUUGGCUGUCAUGAGCACAAAAAUACUACAGUGGGGUCCUUGCAAAUUCUGUGUCGCCUGAUUCUGGGACAAGAAUCUUAUUAUCUUCUGAUCAGAUUAAUUGGCACAGAGACAUGAAUCUGAAAGAAGUGCCCUGUAAAGAUAGGUUGGGAAAA